rnacentral:snoRNA from 2 species
UACCAAAAGUUAGCUUUUUGGGGGGCAGGUUUUUAAGUAACCUUUGCCAACUUGGGCUAUUUGGAAGAGUAAAAGACCACACUCCACAGUGGGCUAUACCACUUAGUAUAGUUCGCUACUAUUUUGUGGCCUACAUG